rnacentral:rRNA from 1 species
UACGUAGGGGGCAAGCGUUAUCCGGAUUCACUGGGUGUAAAGGGAGCGUAGACGGCACUACAAGUCUCAUGUGAAAUACCCGGGCUUAACUUGGGGGUUGCAUGGGAAACUGUAGAGCUUGAGUACAGGAGAGGCAAGCGGAAUUCCUAGUGUAGCGGUGAAAUGCAUAGAUAUUAGGAGGAACACCAGUGGCGAAGGCGGCUUGCUGGACUGAAACUGACGCUGAGGCUCGAAAGCGUGGGGAGCAAACAGG